AUGUCCUUUCGAAAGCCACCUCCUCCCACAAACUCCCCUGAUCCCCCUAAAUCAGCCUUAUCAACCGGCUGCUCUCACAUAACUCUGUUCUAUCUUCCUCAGAGCAUCGGGACCCUCAUCACGUUAUUCGUUCAUUCAUUUACUCUCUCUGUCCUCUAUGACCCUUUGUUCACAGGCGUUACUCUAAAAUGUACCCAGGACUCUGGUUUCACUCAGCGAAGGGGAGGUCAACAGGUCAGCAGGCCACCACAGCUGAAGACAAGAUAUUUAUUCAAUCCUGGGACCAGAUUUUUGUUGGAGCACUACUGUUGAAUUAUUAGGGAAAAGUUUCCAAGCAUACUUCUUCACCAAAUAGAGAAGGUAAUAUUAUCUGUGUCUCAUAGGCCCAAAGAUGUAGUAAAAAUAUUUCUUUUCUAGCUCCUUCAGUUUCAUUUCAAUUCAGAGAGUAAACUUUGGAUGGAUACCAGAAAUACUCUUGGUUUAUUUUAUUUAUUUGUUGUUUAUUUAUUUAUUUAUCUAUCUACCUCUAGCCCUUCCCCUCUCCUUAGAAUUCCAGGUCCUAUAUUUUUUAACCAUUUAUGAGAAAGAUGUAUUUAGAGCUUUAUUCUAGAGAAAAAUGCUGGAUUCUUGUUUUCAGAGUUAAACAUCGAAGAGUCCUUCUAGAAUUAUAAUUCCAUUGUAGUUCUGACAUAUUGGCAUGCUGAAAAACAGAACAAGAAGGCUUUUCAUUUUUUCAAGGGUUCACUUAUGUUUCUAAAGUGAAUAAAAAUGGUUUAUGAGAAAGUUAAGGAUUCUAA
rnacentral:lncRNA from 1 species